AUACGUAGGGGGCGAGCGUUGUCCGGAAUGAUUGGGCGUAAAGGGCGCGUAGGCGGCGCGGUAAGUCUGGAGUGAAAGUCCUGCUUUCAAGGUGGGAAUUGCUUUGGAUACUGCCGCGCUUGAGUGCAGGAGAGGUUAUCGGAAUUCCAGGUGUAGCGGUGAACUGCGUAGAGAUCGGGAGGAACACCAGUGGCGAAGGCGGGUAACUGGACUGCAACUGACGCUGAGGCGCGAAAGUGUGGGGAGCAAACAGGAUUAGAUACCCUGGUAGUCCACACUGUAAACGAUGAAUGCUAGGUGUAAGAGGUAACGACCCCUUUUGUGCCGGAGUCAACACAAUAAGCAUUCCGCCUGGGGAGUACGGCCGCAAGGUUGAAACUCAAAGGAAUUGACGGGG
rnacentral:rRNA from 1 species